CCCUAGUUAGCUCAGCGGGUAAUGCGCUCCACUGGAAAUGGAGACGUUCCGGGUUCGACACCCGGACUAGGCA
rnacentral:tRNA from 1 species